CGCUGGCGGCGUGCCUAACACAUGCAAGUCGAGCGAGGAGAUUCCUUCGGGAUGAUCCUAGCGGCGGACGGGUGAGUAACACGUGGGCAACCUGCCUCAUAGAGAGGAAUAGCCUUCCGAAAGGGAGAUUAAUACCUCAUAACAUUGCAGUUUCGCAUGGAACAGCAAUUAAAGGAGUAAUCCGCUAUGAGAUGGGCCCGCGGCGCAUUAGCCAGUUGGUGAGGUAAUGGCUCACCAAGGCGACGAUGCGUAGCCGACCUGAGAGGGUGAUCGGCCACAUUGGGACUGAGACACGGCCCAGACUCCUACGGGAGGCAGCAGUGGGGAAUAUUGCACAAUGGGGGAAACCCUGAUGCAAGCAACGCCGCGUGAGUGAUGACGGCCUUCGGGUUGUAAAGCUCUGUCUUCAGGGACGAUAAUGACGGUACCUGAGGAGGAAGCCACGGCUAACUACGUGCCAGCAGCCGC
rnacentral:rRNA from 1 species